rnacentral:tRNA from 1 species
AAAAAAUUAGUUAAACACAUAACAUCAGUAUGUCAAACUGAAAUUAUUAAUAUUUUAAUAUUUUUUA